rnacentral:rRNA from 1 species
UACGGGAGGCAGCAGUGGGGAAUAUUGCACAAUGGGCGCAAGCCUGAUGCAGCCAUGCCGCGUGUAUGAAGAAGGCCUUCGGGUUGUAAAGUACUUUCAGCGGGGAGGAAGGGAGUAAAGUUAAUACCUUUGCUCAUUGACGUUACCCGCAGAAGAAGCACCGGCUAACUCCGUGCCAGCAGCCGCGGUAAUACGGAGGGUGCAAGCGUUAAUCGGAAUUACUGGGCGUAAAGCGCACGCAGGCGGUUUGUUAAGUCAGAUGUGAAAUCCCCGGGCUCAACCUGGGAACUGCAUCUGAUACUGGCAAGCUUGAGUCUCGUAGAGGGGGUAGAAUUCCAGGUGUAGCGGUGAAAUGCGUAGAGAUCUGGAGGAAUACCGGUGGCGAAGGCGGGCCCCUGGGACGAGACUGACGCUCAGGUGCGAAAGCGUGGGGAGCAAACAGGAUUAGGAUAACC